AUAAAAUUGGGAGAAAAGAGACAAGGUGAUCCACACUGAGAAAUACCGAAUGAUGGGUUCAGACAGAAAAUCGUCUACCUUGUAAUUCGUCUACUUCAUUUGUUCAUCUGUUGGAGUAAGAGGAAAAGAAAAACAUACCAAAAAGUGUCUUUCACCGCCUGACAUGAUUCUGAGGCCUCCCCAGCCAUGUGGAAAUGUAAGUCCAAUUAAACUUCUUUUUCUUCCCAGUCUCAGGUAUGUCUUUAUCAGCAGCAUGAAAAUGAAUUAAUAGAGUAAAUCGGUACCAGUAGAGUGGUACAUUGCUGAAAAGAUACACAAAAAUUUGGAAGCGACUUUGAAACUGAGUAACAGGCAGAGGUUGGAACAGUAUGGAGGGAUCAGAGGAAGACACGAAAAUGUGGGAAAGUUUGGAACCUCCUAGAGAUUUGUUGAAUGGCUUUGACAAAAAUGCUGAUAGUGAUAUGAAUAAUAAGGUCCAGGCUGAGGUGGUCUCAGAUGAAGAUGAGAACCUUGUUGGCCACUGGAGCAAAGGUGAUUUUUGCUCUGUUUUAGCAAAGAGACUGUAGCAAAGAGACUGUUGGCAUUUUUACCCUGCCCUAGAGAUUUGUGGAACUUUGAACUUAAGGGAGAUGAUUUAGGGUAUCUGGCAGAAGAAAUUUCUUAGCAGCAAAGCAUUCAAGUGGUGACUUGGGUGCCGUUAAAGGCAUUCAGUUUUAAAAGGGAAACAGAGCAUGAAAGUUCAGAAAAUUUGCAACCUGACAAUGCAAAAGGAAAGGAAAACACAUUUUUUGAGAAGAAAUUUAAGCUGGCUGCAUAAAUUUGCAUAAGUAACAAGGAGUGGAAUGUUAAUCCUCAAGACAGUGGGAAAAAUGUCUUCAGGGAAUGUCAUAGAUCUUCGUGGCAGCCCCUCCCAUCACAGGCCUGGAAGCCUAGGAGGAAAAAUGGUUUCCUGGACUGUGCCCAGAGUCCCCCAGCUGUGUGCAGCCUAUGGAACUUGGUGCCCUGUGUUCCAGCUGUUGCUAAAAGGGGCCAAGGUAUAGCUCAGUCCAUGGUUUCAGAGGGUAUAAACCCCAUACCUUGGCAGAUUUCACAUUAUGUUGAGCUUCCAGGUGCACAGAAGUCAAGAAUUGAGGAUUGGGAACAUCUGCCUUGAUUUCAGAUGAUGUAUGGAAAUGCCUAGAUGCCCACGCAAAAGUUUGCUGCGGGGGCAGGACCCUCAUAGAGAACCUCUGCUAGGGCAGUGCAGAAGUGAAAUGUGGAGUUGGAGCCCCCAAACAGAAUUCCUACUGGGACACUGCCCAGUGGAUCUGUGAGAAGAAUGGUAGAUGCCAGAAUGGUAGAUCCACCAACAGCUUGCACCGUAGGCCUGGAAAAGCCACAGACACUCAAUGUCAGCCUGUGAAAGCAGCCAGGAGGAGGGUGAUACCCUGCAAAGCCACAGGGGCAAAGCUGUCCAAUACUGUGGGAAUCUACCUCUUCCAUCAACGUUACCUGGAUAUGAGACGUGGAGUCAAAGGAGAUCAUUUCGGAGCUUUAAAAUUUGACUACCCCUCUGGAUUUCAGACUUACAUGGCCCCUGUAACCCCUUUGUUUUGUCCAAUUUCUCCCAUUUGGAAUGGUUGUAUUGACCCAAUAGCUGUACCUCCAUUGUAUCUAUGAAGUAACUAGCUUGCUUUUAAUUUUACUGGCUCAUAGGUGGUAGGGACUUGCCUCAUUUCAGAUGAGACUUUGGACUGUGGACUUUUGGGUUAAUGCUGAAAUGAGUUAAGACUUUGGGGGAGUGUUGGGAAGGCAUGAUUGGUUUUGAAAUGGCAGGACAAGAUUUGGAAGGGCUAGGAGUGGAAUGAUAAGGUUUGGCUCUGUGGCCCCACCCAAAUAUCAUCUUGAAUUGUACUCCCAUAAUGCCCAUGUGUUGUGGGAGUGACCCAGUGGGAGAUAAUUUGAAUCAUGGGGCAGUUUCCCCCAUACAGUUCUCAUGGUAGUGAAUAAGUCUCACUAGAUCUGAUGGUUUUAUCAGGGGUUUCCGCUUUUGCAUCUUCCUCAUUUUUCUCUUGCUGCUGCCAAGUAAGAAUUGCUUUUCACCUCCUGCUAUGAUUCUGAGUCCUCCCCAGCCAUGUGGAACUGUAAGUCCAAUUAAAUCUCUUUUUCUUUCCAGUCUCAGGUAUGUCUUUAACAGCAGCAUUAAAAUAGAAUAAUACAUGCAUUCUCAACAGUUUUUUAAAAAAUUCUGAGUUAUCCUUUCAUCAAAACUUGAAGGUAAAAGUGUUCUCCCCAGUGCUAUGACACCAGGUUUUUUUUAACAGUUAUUUCUCAUACAUUAAGAAAUGACUGAGACUGCCUGAAUCUGGCUUUCUGAAGUUGUAGCAUGUAAGUUUAUUUUUCUUCUUUUUGCUCAGUUCUAGCCAAAUAACUCUGUACUGUAGCUUUGGAUUUAGUGAUCCUAUGCCUCGACUAUAACAUCUAAAGUGUUUAGAUGCAACCUAAUAAAUUCAUUUAUGCAAUACCUAAACUUGAAUAGUUAUUAAACAAUGGCAAUACUCACCUCACAAAAUAAACUUAAAUAAUUUGUGUAAAAGCUUUAGCAUAGUGCUUGGAAAAUAGUAAGCCUUAAAUUCAUGAUUGCAAGUUAUUAUUUCCAAGAUGUUUUCUGUUUUCUCUUUCUGGAACCAAGGAUAUGUUAUUUGAUUCACUGGCUGUACUGCUUGCUUGUAUUUUGUCUUUUAAUUGCACAAAUAACAUGAAUUGGUUAUCAGAAUUUUUAAACUUAUAAUAAAAUACAGUCAAUAUUAAGUGCAACUUGACAUGUCACCUGUAAUCAAAUGCAUCUCUCCAGAGACUGUAUCUAUUAAUUACACAUUUGCACAACAUGUAUUUUAUAUGUGUAUAAGAAUAUACAAUAUAAUUCCUCAACAAAAAUGUACAACUACACUUAUGUGUUCAUAAUUUCAUAUACAUAUGAAUGUUUCUCUUAGAUUAAUUUGUAAAAAUUGAAUUAAUUAUUUAAAAGAUAUGCUGAG
rnacentral:lncRNA from 10 species